rnacentral:rRNA from 1 species
CGGGACACGUGGUAUCCUGUCUGAAUAUGGGGGGACCAUCCUCCAAGGCUAAAUACUCCUGACUGACCGAUAGUGAACCAGUACCGUGAGGGAAAGGCGAAAAGAACCCCGGCGAGGGGAGUGAAAAAGAACCUGAAACCGUGUACGUACAAGCAGUGGGAGCCUCUUUAUGGGGUGACUGCGUACCUUUUGUAUAAUGGGUCAGCGACUUAUAUUCUGUAGCAAGGUUAACCGAAUAGGGGAGCCGAAGGGAAACCGAGUCUUAACUGGGCGUUAAGUUGCAGGGUAUAGACCCGAAACCCGGUGAUCUAGCCAUGGGCAGGUUGAAGGUUGGGUAACACUAACUGGAGGACCGAACCGACUAAUGUUGAAAAAUUAGCGGAUGACUUGUGGCUGGGGGUGAAAGGCCAAUCAAACCGGGAGAUAGCUGGUUCUCCCCGAAAGCUAUUUAGGUAGCGCCUCGUGAAUUCAUCUCCGGGGGUAGAGCACUGUUUCGGCAAGGGGGUCAUCCCGACUUACCAACCCGAUGCAAACUGCGAAUACCGGAGAAUGUUAUCACGGGAGACACACGGCGGGUGCUAACGUCCGUCGUGAAGAGGGAAACAACCCAGACCGCCAGCUAAGGUCCCAAAGUCAUGGUUAAGUGGGAAACGAUGUGGGAAGGCCCAGACAGCCAGGAUGUUGGCUUAGAAGCAGCCAUCAUUUAAAGAAAGCGUAAUAGCUCACUGGUCGAGUCGGCCUGCGCGGAAGAUGUAACGGGGCUAAACCAUGCACCGAAGCUGCGGCAGCGACGCUUAUGCGUUGUUGGGUAGGGGAGCGUUCUGUAAGCCUGCGAAGGUGUGCUGUGAGGCAUGCUGGAGGUAUCAGAAGUGCGAAUGCUGACAUAAGUAACGAUAAAGCGGGUGAAAAGCCCGCUCGCCGGAAGACCAAGGGUUCCUGUCCAACGUUAAUCGGGGCAGGGUGAGUCGACCCCUAAGGCGAGGCCGAAAGGCGUAGUCGAUGGGAAACAGGUUAAUAUUCCUGUACUUGGUGUUACUGCGAAGGGGGGACGGAGAAGGCUAUGUUGGCCGGGCGACGGUUGUCCCGGUUUAAGCGUGUAGGCUGGUUUUCCAGGCAAAUCCGGAAAAUCAAGGCUGAGGCGUGAUGACGAGGCACUACGGUGCUGAAGCAACAAAUGCCCUGCUUCCAGGAAAAGCCUCUAAGCAUCAGGUAACAUCAAAUCGUACCCCAAACCGACACAGGUGGUCAGGUAGAGAAUACCAAGGCGCUUGAGAGAACUCGGGUGAAGGAACUAGGCAAAAUGGUGCCGUAACUUCGGGAGAAGGCACGCUGAUAUGUAGGUGAAGCGACUUGCUCGUGGAGCUGAAAUCAGUCGAAGAUACCAGCUGGCUGCAACUGUUUAUUAAAAACACAGCACUGUGCAAACACGAAAGUGGACGUAUACGGUGUGACGCCUGCCCGGUGCCGGAAGGUUAAUUGAUGGGGUUAGCGGUAACGCGAAGCUCUUGAUCGAAGCCCCGGUAAACGGCGGCCGUAACUAUAACGGUCCUAAGGUAGCGAAAUUCCUUGUCGGGUAAGUUCCGACCUGCACGAAUGGCGUAAUGAUGGCCAGGCUGUCUCCACCCGAGACUCAGUGAAAUUGAACUCGCUGUGAAGAUGCAGUGUACCCGCGGCAAGACGGAAAGACCCCGUGAACCUUUACUAUAGCUUGACACUGAACAUUGAGCCUUGAUGUGUAGGAUAGGUGGGAGGCUUUGAAGUGUGGACGCCAGUCUGCAUGGAGCCGGCCUUGAAAUACCACCCUUUAAUGUUUGAUGUUCUAACGUUGGCCCCUGAUCGGGGUUGCGGACAGUGUCUGGUGGGUAGUUUGACUGGGGCGGUCUCCUCCUAAAGAGUAACGGAGGAGCACGAAGGUUGGCUAAUCCUGGUCGGACAUCAGGAGGUUAGUGCAAUGGCAUAAGCCAGCUUGACUGCGAGCGUGACGGCGCGAGCAGGUGCGAAAGCAGGUCAUAGUGAUCCGGUGGUUCUGAAUGGAAGGGCCAUCGCUCAACGGAUAAAAGGUACUCCGGGGAUAACAGGCUGAUACCGCCCAAGAGUUCAUAUCGACGGCGGUGUUUGGCACCUCGAUGUCGGCUCAUCACAUCCUGGGGCUGAAGUAGGUCCCAAGGGUAUGGCUGUUCGCCAUUUAAAGUGGUACGCGAGCUGGGUUUAGAACGUCGUGAGACAGUUCGGUCCCUAUCUGCCGUGGGCGCUGGAGAACUGAGGGGGGCUGCUCCUAGUACGAGAGGACCGGAGUGGACGCAUCACUGGUGUUCGGGUUGUCAUGCCAAUGGCACUGCCCGGUAGCUAAAUGCGGAAGAGAUAAGUGCUGAAAGCAUCUAAGCACGAAACUUGCCCCGAGAUGAGUUCUCCCUGAGACUUUAAGUCUCCUGAAGGAACGUUGAAGACGACGACGUUGAUAGGCCGGGUGUGUAAGCGCAGCGAUGCGUUGAGCUAACCGGUACUAAUGAACCGUGAG